AUGGAGUAUCAACCAAUCAUCUCUGCACUCGACGUCCGCACUGAGCCCAUCACCAUCGACGCACUCUUCUCGCUGGUGGCCAACUUCGAUCAACACGUCGAGAUGUUCCAUGGGAACAGCGUUGGUGGCUUCAAGUCAUUAGCGAACGCUGCCUCCAGAGGUCGCUCCGGUGGCGGCAGAGGUGGCUACCGCAACCAG
rnacentral:rRNA from 1 species